UGAUACCCUGGUAGUCUACGCUGUAAACGAUGUCGACUUGGAGGUUGUUCCCUUGAGGAGUGGCUUCCGGAGCUAACGCGUUAAGUCGACCGCCUGGGGAGUACGGCCGCAAGGUUAAAACUCAAAUGAAUUGACGGGGGCCCGCACAAGCGGUGGAGCAUGUGGUUUAAUUCGAUGCAACGCGAAGAACCUUACCUACUCUUGACAUCCAGAGAACUUAGCAGAGAUGCUUUGGUGCCUUCGGGAACUCUGAGACAGGUGCUGCAUGGCUGUCGUCAGCUCGUGUUGUGAAAUGUUGGGUUAAGUCCCGCAACGAGCGCAACCCUUAUCCUUUGUUGCCAGCGGUUCGGCCGGGAACUCAAAGGAGACUGCCAGUGAUAAACUGGAGGAAGGUGGGGAUGACGUCAAGUCAUCAUGGCCCUUACGAGUAGGGCUACACACGUGCUACAAUGGCAUAUACAAAGAGAAGCGACCUCGCGAGAGCAAGCGGACCUCAUAAAGUAUGUCGUAGUCCGGAUCGGAGUCUGCAACUCGACUCCGUGAAGUCGGAAUCGCUAGUAAUCGUGGAUCAGAAUGCCACGGUGAAUACGUUCCCGGGCCUUGUACACACCGCCCGUCACACCAUGGGAGUGGGUUGCAAAAGAAGUAGGUAGCUUAACCUUC
rnacentral:rRNA from 1 species